rnacentral:rRNA from 1 species
GACGAACGCUGGCGGCGUGCUUAACACAUGCAAGUCGAACGAAGUGGCGCACGGGUGAGUAACGCGUAAUCAACCUUCCCUUCCGAGGGGGACAACAGUUGGAACCGACUGCUAAUACCGCAUACUGAAGGAGGGGCUUCCGUCUGCUUCGCUCGUUGGAGGGGUAACGGCCCACCAGGGCGAUGUUCGUUAGCCGGUCUGAGAGGAUGAACGGCAAAAUUGGGACUGAGACACGGCCCAGACUCCGACGGGAGGCAGCAGUGGGGAAUCUUCCGCAAUGGAAGAAAGUCUGACGGAGCAACGCCGCGUGAGUGAUGACGGCCUUCGGGUUGGAAAGCUCUGUUAAUCGGGACGCGGUACCGGAAUAGAAAGCCACGGCUAACUACGUGCCAGCAGCCGCGGUAAUAC